rnacentral:lncRNA from 1 species
CCUGCCUAUAAAUAUUCAUCACACGCAUUCUCUCCUUCCUUUCUUGGAAGCUCCUUGGCACUCCUCUUACUUUCUCCUACCUCCUGGGGUAGAAUUAUUCUGAAAAGAUGCAAACAGGCACUGCAUGUCCCUGUGACAGAGGUCCCUCUCUCCCUGUGUUCCACCUGAGCCUCCAGACAGAGAAAGUAAGGAGCUGUCACAUCGCAGGGCCACUGGGCAUGACUCAGAUACCUGUAGCCAAAUAGAAAGAAACAGGAACUGAAGGCAGAGAAAUUCACAGGGAGAAAGAGGUGGAAUAUCACAGGUGACAGGAGACAGAUGAGGAAGAGCAGCUGGGAGAAAAAAAAAGGCUGGCCACCUGGGAAAGCACCCAAGCCUGUGAUAACGACAGGCCUAAGUUGGGAGAAGCAGUCAGGAUUGCUGGAUCACUGCAGGAAGUGCCGGUCACGAAGAAGGAAGUGUGAACAAGGUGCCCUGAAGCUGUCAGAGUGAUUUGCUGUGCAAUCAGGAAAAAAAAAGUUAGUGAGCCUUAUUGGUCUCAGGCUUGUCAGAUGAGAAAGGGGAAGAAGAUCACCCACUGCUUCUCUGCUGUUAAUGACAGAAGAAAAAAUAAUUGCCUCAAGCCCCUAGGAAAUGAUAAUCAUGCGAAGGCUCUAUGAUGGGUUUCUGCGCAAUGUCCCCUCUUGGGACUCUCACGCUCAUUAAACUUAAGGCAGAGGCCCUCCCUCAGGGGAGCGACUUGGUAAACCAAGACAGUCAAGCCUGUGCCAGGAGCCCCAGAGGUGCCCAGAUCCCAUGAACCAACAGGAGCUCCAUCUCAGGGCAUCGUUCUCUACGUGUCCUGGACCACCCAUCACCGGCUUCCUGCUCUGCCCCUGGGACAACCGAAAACCAGGCAAUGCUCACAGGUCUCUGCAGAAAAGCCAGAUAAGAGCUCGGCCAGAAGGCGUCCAGGAAGGAGAGACACAGAGGCCCACCAGCACUGAAAGCGCCCACAUCUGGAGCUGGUCAGAGGCAGCCAUGCCACGGGGAGGGAAAGGCACUGCCAGGGGUCCCCGGGAGCUGGACUCAGCAGGCGUUGGUAGCUGCUCCUCCACAGGGUGAAACACACCAGGGGAAUGGCCCUGGGACAGAAUCACACCACGGUGACCAGGUUCAUCCUGCUGGGCCUCACAGACCAGGCACACCAAAAACCUCUCCUCUUUGCCCUCUUCCUGCUCGUCUACCUGGUGACUCUGGUGGGCAACCUGGGCUUGAUAGAUGUGAUCCGCACCAGCGCCCCCCUCCACACCCCAUGUACUUCCUCCUGAGCGUGCUUUCCGUCCUUGACGUCUGCAAUUCCUCCUCGUUCACCCCCCGACUGCUGGUCAGCCUCCUCGCCACUGACCGGUCCAUCUCAUUCACGGGCUGUGCGGUCCAGAUGGCUCUGCUG